rnacentral:misc_RNA from 1 species
AAGUCGUAACAAGGUCUCCGUAGGGGAACCUGCGGAGGGAUCAUUUCCAUUAAAAAAAUUGAGGGGGCUUGGGGGGUCUUAUUGGCCUCUUGCGUUUUCCUUAAUAAAGUUGGUUGUGUUUCUUUCUAUCAAAACUGAUAUGAAAAAAGGUUGAGGAGGAAUAUUGGGGUUUUAUAAUACCCCAACGUUCUUUUCUUUCCUUUCUUUCAUAUUCAGGUUUGUUUUAAAAACUGUAAUCAAAGCAUCCUUAACUUGAUUGUUGCUUAUUUUAAAAAAGAUACAACUAUCAACGGCGGAUCUCUUGGUUCGU